AAGAUCACCUCGGGGUGCCCUGCGUGCAGGGCUGAGAUGCGAAAGCGAACCCGUUGAACCUGAACCGGUUAAGACCGGCGGAGGGAAGGUUUGGCAAACAGCC
rnacentral:ncRNA from 1 species